rnacentral:tRNA from 1 species
UGGGGAUUAGCUCAGUGGUAGAGUGCUUACCUAGCAUGUUUGAGACCCUGGAAUCAAUCCCCAGCACCACAC